AACAUUGCCAUUUCUGUCUUGUUUACUCAGUAUCUCUACCUUUAACCUUCUUCUGUUAGAUUGCAUAUUAGUAAAAAACUAUAACCCAGCAAGCACAACCAUUGUCAAUUCCAAGUUAGUAUGCCCCCAGACCAGGUGGUUUUGGUGUAGGUGGUAAUCCCUUUCCUUCACUUGACCCUUUCUUGUGUUUUCACCUACAGUCUCACAUGGGCCUUGAGAGGGCAGCGGGUAGACUGGGGCAGCCCAUUUACAGGUGGUUGAACUGUGUCCGAGUCCCUGGCUUCAUCAGCCCCAGGCCCCAUGGUAGCAGGUGGGGGCACUUGGCCACUAAAGCUGGCUUUGCUGCAGCUGGCUUUUUUAUUGAGUCCCCAGUGUGCUAGCUCUUGUGCUUUUAGUACUUGAUGUGCCUCACAGAAAUGUGGAAUAGGGUGAUUUUCAUGUUACAAACAAGGACGGUGAGCAGGGGAAGUGUGUAGCACCAGGUCCCAGUCAGUAGCUGCAGAGCUGAGAUGUGAGCCAGGUCCCUCAGACCCCAAAUGCUCUCAGCCUCUUCCCCUGGUGCCGUUUUUCACCCCCUCCUUUCCACACAGGUGCGCUUCUGACUACUCUCUAUCCCCGGCCACCUCACCUCAUUUUCUUCUUAUUUGGACCAGCCUGAGUUUCUUAAUAAUUACAUUUUAUGUUCAAAGUAGUAUCUGGAACUUCAGACUGUUUUGUGGCUAUUGAUAACAUUAACCAUAUGAAUUGUGGAUGAACUACCGGUUAUUUUAUGGAUGUAUGAGUUACAGCUUGCAUUUGCUUUUCAGGCCCGGCUGAGUAAGGAUGGUGAUUCCACUCUGGGACCAAGGUCCAGACUCUGAGGCAGGGCCUUGGGGGAAGCGUACAUGGUCCAUCCUGUAACUGGGGAAGAGGGAUUUCCAGGGCCCUUGGUGAUUUCAGGUUACCUGCAGGUUUACAGAUUUGUUUCCCUGGUGCUUUGUGCUUUAUGACUAUAAGGAAAAUAGUUAAUGUUAAGAGUUAGGGAUGGCCCUUAAGAGUUAUCCUUUUCUUCAUGGCAUCUGUAGAAGAGGUCUGUGCAUCUCUUGCAUCACUCCACAGACUGUCAUAUGAGCCCUAACAAAACAGAUCUGCUAAGGACCUGAGCACCAAGUACAGUGCCGGGCUGCCUUGACAAGGGAGAGCUGGGACCCAGUCCUCUGUCCUUGAGGGGCUGGCACAUCAUUACAGUGCAGUGUGAAGAGGUCAGUAGACGUUUGAACAGACUGGAGAGGAGGGAUUCUGCCAGGAGACCUCAGAAAGAGACCACAAGGAAGCCCUGCUUCAUUACAACACUGGAGGUGGAGGAGAUACCAAGGGCUCUCAGUACAGAGGGAGUGGUGAGGGCAGGGGUCCAAGUGGGAGAUCAUGGACAUGGCCAUCAGUUCUGGGGGAUGGAGAUGGGGCGGCAGAGGCUCCCAGAAAAACAGCCAGUUCCAGAGAGCCACCUUGACUCAAUUCAGGCCUGUUUUCUACACCUUACACUUAAAAGGAUGGUGAAUUACAUUAUUGGGUGGUUAAGUCAAGUUCUGCGUUUACCUCAUGCUUCUUUUGGAUUGUUUCUCUGAGACUCUUUGCUUUAAAACCGUGUAAGCACAUCCCAGACCUCAUGGGUUCCCCUUGGGGGAGGUCUCCUGUUUGUGUCUUUGGGGCUGUAGGAGAAGAAACGAGGACCCAGUGACCUUCUCCCAGCCCCCGUCCGAUUGGCCGUGGAUCCUGAGAUAGAUGGCAUGAUAAUGUGGGCAGAUCCGCUGGACCCGCUCCAUGCCAGGCACUGCGGAUUAGCCUAGUUAGUCCUCACAGCCACCCUGAAAAGUAGGUGCUAAUAUUGUCUCCAUCUCAUAGGUAAGGAAACUGAGUCACAGGGAAGUUAAGUAACCUGCCCAGGGUCACACAGCCAAUGAGUGGUAGAGCUAGGCCUUCUGGUUCUGGAGACCUUGCUUUAGACUAAUGCAGCAAGCUACUCAUUAUUAACAGGCUUCUGUUGACUGUCCACCACACUCCACACGGGUGUAGACAAAGUAGAUAUGCUUCCACCUGUAGCUCUUUGGUUCAGCCUCAGUUGUGGACAGCUGUCAGGUGUGGUCGCAGAGACUAAGGCAGGUUGGGGGGAUCCUGGGAACCUCUGGCCCCUCUGAGUGCAGCCCCAGCUGUGGUGGGCUUGGGCUUGGCUAAAGAACCUCUUCUAUGAGAACUCCAGCCCUCUGCAUGGUCUAGUCUGCACUAUAACAGCGAGGUUGUCAGCCCUUGAAACUGCCUUUCCCCCUGGGAGAAAAAGACUUUCCCUUGAGUUACUGAAGCCUUGUCUUAUCUGACCUGGUCUCCCCCUUUUCCUUUGAUUAAUGUGUCCUCUUCAUUCCAAAGGAGCUGCCUUGAAUGAGGAGGAGGCUGGAGCAGGCGAGUCUGAUGUGGUGUGGGGUGUUGGGACAGUCAGGAAAGGGAUAUUGGGGAAGAAAGGUUUGUUCAGCUGACUGGGGCACUCAGCUAGUGUUUUCCUUGGGCUCUAAAAUUUCUUUUAAAACUUGGUGUCAGGUAUUUGUGGCUUCUCCUAUCACCAGCAAGUGAUCGGCGUCAGGUCUUUCAUGCUUUUCCUUUAUUUUCCUUUCACAGACCAAGUUGUAUGCACAGUAGGUUAGGACAUAUGCAGCAUCAAUGUUGUGUUUUUUAUACAUUCACUUUUCUCAAAAUGCUUUACCCACCCCCACCCCACCCCAACUUUUGUUCUAGCCCAUGGGCUUUUCUUAAUCGCAUCAGUGUUCUUCAUAGGCUUUUUUGUUUUCUUAGAAGAUGUUUUCACUUAACAUAAAAAACGAUGUAGAAGGAUAAGACGGUGACAACACCUGGUUAAAUGACACAAGUCAGCCUCCAGCCUUGCAGGAAGAGUUGAACAGCGGCGGGAUGUAGCACGCUUCUUGCCAGUCUUGGCCCAGGUGGCAUCAGAGCGUGAGGGUAGGUUUUCUAACUGCGUAGCGAGUUUAGGGCUAACAUACAGGCAGGUGGUUCCAGCAAGCCUGGCUGCCUGCCCCUGUGUGUGUCCCUUGACUGUGUGUGCAGCACACAUGCAUCUGCUCCUCCCCAGCAGGGUUUUGCUGUGGGGUUUCCAGGCAGCAGUGUCGAAGACUGCAGGUCUGCUAUUUCUACUGCUGCCCUACCCUCAGGCUUGGCCCUGGAACCACCCAGAAUUUAGAAGCACAGGAAAGGCUGGUGACAAGGGACAGUGUUGGGGUUUUGCUUACACAGUAUAGGGAGACUUAAAUGAAUGUGUAGUUUAUGUCAAGAGCCUAGCUUUUAUCAUUCUGUCUUCAGAUUUCUCUGAGAAAUCUCAUCAGUUACUAAC
ensembl:lncRNA